AGGUGAGAGAACUUGGAAAGCCUGUGGAGCUUGCUGGACAGUAUUACACAGAUGGAGCUGAUGAGGUCAGCUUUCUGAAUAUUACCGGUUUCCAGGACUUCCCUUUGGGUGACUUGCCUAUGCUACAGGUAUUGAGAUAUGCAUCAGAAAAUGUUUUCGUGCCAUUAACAGUUGGAGGUGGCAUUAGAGAUUUUACCGAUGCAACUGGCAGGCACUAUUCUAGUUUGGAAUUGUUGCUUCAGAAUAUUUUAGAUGUGUGGCUGAUAAGAUCUCCAUUGGAAGUGAUGCAGUUUAUGCUGCAGAAGAAUAUUUAAGAACUGGAGUGAAAAGUGGAAAAAGCAGCUUAGAGCAGAUAUCCAGAGUUUACGGAAAUCAGG